UACAGAGGGGGCAAGCGUUAUUCGGAAUUAUUGGGCGUAAAGGGCGCGUAGGCGGCUUGGCAAGUGGAAGGUGAAAUCCCUCGGCUUAACCGAGGAACUGCCCUCCAAACUGUUUCGCUUGAGACCGGGAGAGGUGAGUGGAAUUCCCAGUGUAGCGGUGAAAUGCGUAGAUAUCUGGAGGAACACCGGUGGCGAAGGCGGCGUUCUGGACUGCAACUGACACUGAGAGACGAAAGCCAGGGGAGCAAACGGG
rnacentral:rRNA from 1 species